rnacentral:tRNA from 1 species
GAGGGUAUAGCUCAGUGGUAGAGUGUGUGCUUAGCAUGCAUGAAGUCCUGGGUUCAAUCCCCAGUACCUGCA